UACAGAGGGUGCAAGCGUUGUUCGGAAUUAUUGGGCGUAGAGCGCGUGUAGGCGGCUUUGCAAGUCGGGUGUGAAAGCCCUCGGCUUAACCGAGGAAGUGCGCCCGAAACUGCAGAGCUUGAGUACCGGAGAGGAUGGCGGAAUUCCCCAAGUAGAGGUGAAAUUCGUAGAUAUGGGGAGGAACACCGGUGGCGAAGGCGGCCAUCUGGACGGAUACUGACGCUGAGACGCGAAAGCGUGGGGAGCAAACAGG
rnacentral:rRNA from 1 species